GGGGAAUAUUGCACAAUGGGGGAAACCCUGAUGCAGCAACGCCGCGUGAGUGAUGAAGGUCUUCGGAUUGUAAAGCUCUGUCUUCAGGGACGAUAAUGACGGUACCUGAGGAGGAAGCCACGGCUAACUACGUGCCAGCAGCCGCGGUAAUACGUAGGUGGCAAGCGUUGUCCGGAUUUACUGGGCGUAAAGGGAGCGUAGGCGGACUUUUAAGUGGGAUGUGAAAUACCCGGGCUUAACCUGGGUGCUGCAUUCCAAACUGGGAGUCUAGAGUGCAGGAGGGGAAAGUGGAAUUCCUAGUGUAGCGGUGAAAUGCGUAGAGAUUAGGAAGAACACCGGUGGCGAAGGCGACUUUCUGGACUGUAACUGACGCUGAGGCUCGAAAGCGUGGGGAGCGAAC
rnacentral:rRNA from 1 species